UAUAUAUACUCUACAUUUGUGCAUUCAAAUGUUUAUUGUAUACACAUUUAUGACAUGGAUGAAAAUAGAAACAGUUUUGUUUUUCUCUAAUGUCAUGUGAUUUGUGAUAGUUCAUCUUCCCUUCACUUUUGUUUUAAAAAAAAAACAACAACAAAAAAAAACAAAAAACUUUUAUUUGCCAAAUUGUGUAUUUAGCAUAAUGAAAUGAAAUUGUUGACUAGAUUUGUUGUGUGUGAGUGUGUGUGUAUUUAGUGUGAGUCUGUAAGAGUUCCAGAUGUUUUAGGCUUAUAUUGACCUACUUGGGGGUGUCUUGAUUGUAAAUAGAUUUUGUUUCAUUCUCCCUUCUAUUGAAAAUGCGACCUUUCCAGCUGUCAGUGAGUCAACUGGGUGCAUAGUUUUGUGUGUAUAUAUAUAUAUAUACAUAGAAUUAUAUACAUACAGAAUUCAAUACAUAUAUGUCUAUAGUUAGUUGAUUAUGUAAUGUGUACAUGAAGUGCCUGGUUGUCAGAUUAAUACAUAUGUCUCUUUUUUUUUUUAAAUGGUAGUUCUGGUAUUUUUUCUUUAAAGGGUUAGUUUAUUGUUAACAAAAAAUUUUUGAGGGUGGUAAUUUGUGUAGAUGUUCUAUGCAAUGAGAAAAAGAUUGUCAAACAAACAAAAAGUGCAUUCAAUGAUGGCUAUUGCUUGACUUUGGUCUACCUAUUAAAUUUCAAUAGUACACAAUUAUUAGUUUCAACGUUGAGACAAGGUUUAUUCAGACCUUUUUUUUUAUCCUCACAGAGCCAACUCAUCAUCAUUAUUGUUUCUCUUACCGCUGUUAUUUAAAUUGUUUCCAGAUUAUUUGUAUUCUUCUGGUUUCUCCUGUACAUGUUCAGAAACAUUUUAGUUGAAUUCAUUUCAUCCAUUGCAUUUCAUUUUUAUUCCAAAAUGAUUGUGCCCCUCAAUCCCCCCCCCCUUUUUUUUUUCCCAAUCAUUUAAAAAAAAAACCUAGAUAUAAUGUUAGCUGAUGUUCUGUUAAGCCAUGUUGAUGUUACAAACUUUGAAUUGGCUUUAUGAAUGGUUUUUAUUCAAUGUCAUGCCUAGUUGUUGGUCUGCUGGCUGCUGAAGUCCUGGGGCUAACACUGUAGCAUACUGUAUAUACAUCAUUUCAUUUUCAGCUACUUUCAUUUUUCACAAUGUGCACAUCUUUAGAAAUAACAAAACUCAAAUAUGAUUGUAUGGCUUCCCUGUUUUUUGUUUAAAUGAUGUCUCGUGUCUUUCAUUGUGAAUGUUUGGAAUACCUACUGCAAUUACGUCCAACUACACCCCAACCCCCAUCUUCUCUUUUAAUUAGUUAUUUUCUAUAGUUUGUGAAAAAAAAAAGCUUACCUAACUUAUAGAUUUAUUAUAAAUGCCAUCCCCCUUACAGUUUAAAACAGCCAAAAACCUAUGCCCAUUUCAGAACCAGGUUAGAGUAAAUAUCCAAGAAAAUCUCAUUACACAGGUAUACAUGUUAAUCACAUGCAAUGGCCAAUAAUCUGAAGCAGUUUAAGGGUAAAAUUGUUCCUAUAUUUAGCUUUGUACUAGGGCAAUACCCUUAUAUACCCCCCAAGUUACAACCUGUUUUGAUGGAGGUCAAUACAUGCUCUGCAUUCGAUGUAUGUCCUGAAUGGUGCUAGAGAGCUAUUAAGACAUAACAGACAAUACUACUUACUUAUGGAUAGCCAUAAGUGGCUGUUGCACCUAUGAUCCCAUAAUUAAAAAUAUUUUAAUUACAUUCUUUAGACAAAACCAUAUGUUACACAAGAAAAAAUAGUUUAUU